rnacentral:misc_RNA from 1 species
GAAGUCGUAACAAGGUAUCCGUAGGUGAACCUGCGGAUGGAUCAUUAACACUCAUCCAAAACAACAACAACAAACCUUGACGCGAAAUGUUCAAGUCUUUUCGACCUGAACUUUAAACUAUAGCAUACUUUGUUGCUACUGUACAUUUAUUCUUCGGAAUUGUACUGAACCAAUGCAUUUUGGUCGCGAGGAGAAGGACGAGAGAGGUCUUCCUCUCUUCUCAUUCUCUGCUUCCAAAUCAUUAAAAAACAAAACUUUUAUACAACUUUUGACGAUGGAUAUCUUGGCUCUG